rnacentral:rRNA from 1 species
GUGGGGAAUAUUGGACAAUGGGGGGAACCCUGAUCCAGCCAUGCCGCGUGUGUGAAGAAGGCCUUUUGGUUGUAAAGCACUUUAAGCGAGGAGGAGGCUACCGAGAUUAAUACUCUUGGAUAGUGGACGUUACUCGCAGAAUAAGCACCGGCUAACUCUGUGCCAGCAGCCGCGGUAAUACAGAGGGUGCAAGCGUUAAUCGGAUUUACUGGGCGUAAAGUGCGCGUAGGUGGCCAAUUAAGUCAAAUGUGAAAUCCCCGAGCUUAACUUGGGAAUUGCAUUCGAUACUGGUUGGCUAGAGUAUGGGAGAGGAUGGUAGAAUUCCAGGUGUAGCGGUGAAAUGCGUAGAGAUCUGGAGGAAUACCGAUGGCGAAGGCAGCCAUCUGGCCUAAUACUGACACUGAGGUACGAAAGCAUGGGGAGCAAACAGGAUUAGAAACCCUGGUAGUCC